GCAGUGAUGGCCGAGUGGUUAAGGUGUCUGACCAGAAAGCAGAUGGAAUGUUCUUGUGUGGGUUCGAAUCCCACUUACUGCG